UACGGAGGGUGCGAGCGUUGUCCGGAAUCAUUGGGCGUAAAGGGCGCGUAGGUGGUGGGGUCAGUUCGUGGUGAAAGCGCGGGGCUCAACCCCGCGUCGGCCAUGAAUACUGCCGCACUUGAGCACUGUAGAGGCAGGCGGAAUUCCGGGUGUAGCGGUGGAAUGCGUAGAGAUCCGGAAGAACACCGGUGGCGAAGGCGGCCUGCUGGGCAGUGGCUGACACUGAGGCGCGACAGCGUGGGGAGCAAACAGG
rnacentral:rRNA from 1 species